rnacentral:rRNA from 1 species
UACAGGGGGUGCAAACGUUGCUCGGAAUUAUUGGGCGUAAAGCGCGCGUAGGCGGCUACUUAAGUCGGAUGUGAAAGCCCCUGGCUCAACUGGGGAAGUGCACCCGAAACUGAGUAGCUAGAGUACGAAAGAGGGUCGCGGAAUUCCCGGUGUAGAGGUGAAAUUCGUAGAUAUCGAGAGGAACACCAGUGGCGCAAGCGGCUGACUGGCCGAGACCUGACGCUGAGACACGACGGCGUGGGGAGCAAACCGG